AGACACAAGAUGGGAAGAUGGGGGAAGCGAAGGAUGAAGAGCUAGGGCAGAGCCUGAGUUGUGAGGAGGGAGCAAAAAUCUGCCCCCAGGACUGUCUGAGUCCACACUGGCUGCUCGGCUCAUGGUGCAGGUGUGUGGGAGCCCUCCUCCACAUGGUCUCCACAGCAACCCGCCACUCUAAUCUGCUGAAUAUGAAAAGAAGAAACAGAAAGAGAAAAGCCAUCCACCCCCUUCUGCUCCAUCCAUGAGUCCAAAAGAAGGAUAUCGUCUCCAGGCAUUCCUGAUAAUACCCCAGCCAUUGCCCUGGCAACAGUCACAGGGAGCCGGCAUGGCCUGUGGAGAAAGCAGUCCCUGUCUCUAGCUCAGGCGGCUUCCUCCUCCUCCUCUUCUCCCACCACGGAUCUCCUAAUAGCCCCUAACAAUUGUGCACCCCACUUUUGGCCCACUGCCUCAUGCCCUCCAGCCUGCCAGCGGACCACUGACACAGAGAAUACAGAAAUCCACAUACUUUUCUCCUAAUGGUACUGAAAUGAUACUUGCAGGCAUGCAUACAGGCUUCUAAGUGUGUAUAGAUGAGAUUGUGUGUGUGUGUGUCUGUGUGUCUGUGCCUGUGUAUAGAUUUGAAAGACUCUUCACCUCUAGCUCCCCUGCAGAUGAACUGUGUUUACACGCUGAAUGAAGAAGUGGAGACUACUUCUUAUCAAAGCUAAGAGUUUGGAAAAGCCACCGCUUACAACUCCCAUUCUCUCAGCUGAGCUGGCUGAGGAGGUUUGCAGAGCCCUUUGCUCUGAGCCUCAUACCCAGCAGUGAAAGCUCUCAUUUGUCUUAAGGCCAUCAUGUUGAUGCAGCUGGCUUUGACACUGCUUACCUCAGCAUUUUUUUUUUUUUCGGUUGAAAGACAGAAGGCUUCCUUGUGAUCCCAGCCUUUUCCUAUCAAAUGACACUCAGCCUGGGUUUGGGUGACUUAUUUACUGGCACUAGACCAGUAAAAACAAAAAUGAACGUUCGCAACUAAUAAAUCCUCGUGCUUAGAUAGCUAGAGCCACAGCGGUGGGAUUACACCAGAAUGCUCGGCCGUUACUGGAGGGCUCCCAGGCUGUGCGGAGCCUAGUAAGUCAGAGGAGGAAAGGGGACCAAAUCAAGGAGCAGAGAAAUUACGUGCAGCAUGGGUUUUGGACAAUGAAAACCUUUUAUCUUCACUCUACGAUGUGCUUUCCGGGUGGGAGAUUCUACAGGCAGAAAUAGGGUGCACUGUGUUUGCAUCAUCGCGGUGAGCCUGCUAAGCUUGCCACCUUGACCUUCCUUUCUUGAAAAUCAAACCACACCCAUCUUCAGUAAGAUGAAAAAAGACAGCUAAGAUUCUGGACAGCGCAAUCACAGCUUUUCAGAGAACUGAAAGGAGCUAUUUUUAUAGAGGGCACGAGGUCAAGAAUGUUUAGCAAACAAAUUGAAUGUCAUCUACUCGCAGAGAAUUCUCCAAGGACCUUCCUUCUCCCAGGCCCUUGUGGAAAGUGAGGGCACCUCUGAGAGGCGGGUGCAAUGAUGUUUUUCCUUGUUUCAGAAUUGAUCUUUGGUAUAGAAGAACAUUUUUAUGUUAAUAUAAAUCCAAAAGAAUCCCACCAUAAAAUAUCGACACAGCCAAAGCUUUCCUUCUUCCACGACUACUUCUAAGACUCUGAGCAUCCACACUUCCUUUAAGGUUAGGUCUGCUGGGGCAGCUACCAUUGUGUCACAGUGGAAAACUUCCUCAUAGGAUUUAACCUGAUGGAACUAAAUAGAGAUUAAAAAGCAGAGGAUUUUUUUAAAGUAUAAGUCAAAUGGCCUUUGUACAAGCUAAUGGGCAUUUGACUAUUUGGAAAGAUGAUUGACAGCCAUUGAUUUCUCUCUUCCUUUUUAAUUUUGGCUUCAUGACUGAGAGACUACCACAAAGGAUAUUUACUGGUGACAUAUUAGAACACAGCCACCCAGCGGUUCGACUUGUUUGUAUAAUUCCUUUAAUCUAUGUUGUUGCCACUGUCAUCCUGUUUAGCUGUGAUGUCCCCUCAUUACAAAGAAGAUACCUACAAUGAGUGGAUAAUGGGAGCUAUGCUCUCUCAAAGCACCCAAUGAAAGAACAUAUUACAAGUCUUUCAGAGCUCUGCGAAAUUAUUGCAUCUGAUGGCUUUGACAGUGCCAUCCUUAAGGUAAAACCAGAUGAAUCAAAUGUGCAUAGACUAGUUCAGUCGUCUCAUUAGGAAGCUUUUAGAAUGCUUGCUGUCCACCAAUGACGCAGCCUCUUUAAAUGCUUUCAUAAGUCUUCAGGGUUGAAAUGUAAUGUCUCUGUGAUGGAACAUAGUUAGACACUCCUCCCUCUCCAUGGAGAGAGAGAGAGAGAGAGAGAGAGAGAGAGAGAGAGAGAGAGAGAGAGAGGAUGGGAAUGAAAUAUGUAUACUCUCUACUCAUUGUCUCUAAGGAUAAUCAAAUACUGUGUAUGUGUGCAGUGUGUGAAUGUAUGUACAUGUUUAUGUAUGGGUGGUACACGCAUAUGAAUAUUCACAUCCAUGUGUAUGCAUGCAGAGUCUGGAGAAGGGUGUAAUGUAUUUUCCUUGGCCUGAGACUGGGUCUCUCACUGGAUAGAAAGUGUGCCAUUUUUAGUAGGCUUUUACCCGGGACCUGGAUUUAUCUCGGAUCCUUGUGUUUAUAAAGCAUGUAUUCUUAACUACUGAGCUAUCUCCCCAGUCCCAAGGAUCAAUUAUCUUCUGAUUAUUUAAAUACUUAGAAAAUGAGCUAUCAUGAAUUCAAAUAAUCUUUAAAUGUUGUG
rnacentral:lncRNA from 1 species